AUGAUCAUACAACUGGGUGACACAGAAGUUGUCAAAGUCAAUCGCUAUAGAAACUAAUACCGAGCAGUGUUUUAAUAAAGUUUACUUGACGCCUGUGAUUCAAUAAUUACAAAUAAAAGUACUUUUAGGAUUUUUUUGAAUUUUGUACUAUACCUUGUAAGUAAGGUAUUAGUUUGUAAGUCAAUAAAAUCAGAAUUAGAAAAGUUUUUCAUGUAAAAUAUGACGAAAGUUGAGAAUAUAUAGUAGGUACCUACCUACAUACUUAUUUCAUAAAGCAGAAUUACAGUUUUAGAGUUAGUUGAAGUGAAUUUAAUUAAUUGUGUUAUUUUUGUAGUGUUUACCGACAUUGCCAUGUACAAUACAAUGCAUGUAGCAUUUGUAUUGUACGCGGAAACGGAACGAAAAAGAUGUCUUUGUCGAGUUCAUUGCAAAACUUUCGUGUCGCGAUACCAGCAGGUUUUAGAAGAAAUACAAAGUCUUCGAACAACUGCUGUUCGCAAUGAAUUAGAGAUAAGUAAGUUAUAUGAAUGAAUGAAGGAAUUUUCUUCAUUCUCUGCGUUGAGCUAGUGACGUGGACUAUGGGCCUAACCCCUCUCAUUCUGAGAGGAGACUCGAGCUCAGCAGUGAGCCGAAUAUGGUAUUUUUAUAUGGUCUUGGCAGCUUUAAACUUUUAUGCCAAUGGAUCAUACAAAUGGCUUUGUGAUGGCUAAGGCAUCUUUUAGCAAAUGCCUACAUGAAGUCGCUGACUCUCCUGAAUACCCCAGCUGUUUAAAAAAAAUGUGUUAAGUUCCCUUUGCAUUAAACACAAAAUAAGUAAAUAAAUAUGUGAUGCCAAUCUAAUAAUAACAUAGUGGAUGCUCAAUUUGGUGGUGCAUCUUAUGACUUGUACAUAUGGAACCAGUGCAAUAAGACCACUUGAGGAAAACCUGCCCAAUAGGGACCGCUGUUGGUUGUUAGGUGACCAAUGUUUGCAUGAUGACCCCUAUCUUGGGAGCUGCUCCUAGAUCCCAUGAAGAUAUGCACAACAUUGCUGUGUCAGAAAUACGGUGGAGCCUUGUAGUUGGGUGCAUAUUGUAAAAUGUUUCCUCACUCCAAAACCAUGAACUCUGGUUUUCUAAACCCUCAAGCUAUGCAGCCGAAGGAGGAGACUUAUCACAGGAGAAUCACUAAUAAUUUUGAAGAAGUGAAGAGCUUAACAAUGUUUCAACCAACACCUAAAGAAGCUUUCACUUGGCUGUUAGAUCAAGGGCUGGAUACAGAAAACAGUAAUCCUUGUGAUGGCAGUAUUGUCCAAGGAUUCCUCACUCAAAACCAUGAUAACAAGUUGCUAGAACCCUCAAGCUAUGCAGACAAAGGACUGGAUAUAUUUUUUCGUGACCAAGCCUUCUGUAUAAUUAUUUAUACUUAAACCAUACAAAGCACUAUCUAGCCCCAAAGUAGGCAUACAGAGUAGCUUGUGUUGUGGGUACUAAGAUAGUUGAUAUUAUAAUAUUCAUUUACAUUUAUAUACUACCUAUAAAUACUUAUAUAAUGUAUAAAUACACACACACUGGAAAAAACCCAUGCUCUUCACACAAAUAUUUUCCAGGUGUGGGAAUCGAACCCAUGACCGUGGAUGCAGGAGCACUACUUACUGCGCCACGCGUAUGUGUUUUUAUUUUGAAGCAAGUUAUUAAAGUUGAUAAUUCAAAUUGUAGUCAUGUUUUUAAUUAAUCUAUAAUUAAUUUUUAAUUUACAUUUUUGUUAAAUAUUUACCUAUACUUCAGUCUAUUUUUGUUAGAGGGGGUACCUAUAUGUGUAAGUAGGGUCGUUUCUUGAUUAAAUUAAACUAAAGAAUGAAAGAUAUAUAUUAUAACAAAAUUUGUCAACAACAAUAUAUCAAGUCUGAAUAAAAAAUACCAACACAAGUAAA